rnacentral:rRNA from 1 species
AUUGAACGCUGGCGGCAUGCUUUACACAUGCAAGUCGAACGGCAGCACGGGCUUCGGCCUGGUGGCGAGUGGCGAACGGGUGAGUAAUAUAUCGGAACGUACCCAGAAGUGGGGGAUAACGUAGCGAAAGUUACGCUAAUACCGCAUACGAUCUAUGGAUGAAAGCAGGGGACCGCAAGGCCUUGUGCUCUUGGAGCGGCCGAUAGCUGAUUAGCUAGUUGGUGAGGUAAAGGCUCACCAAGGCGACGAUCAGUAGCUGGUCUGAGAGGACGACCAGCCACACUGGAACUGAGACACGGUCCAGACUCCUACGGGAGGCAGCAGUGGGGAAUGUUGGACAAUGGGCGCAAGCCUGAUCCAGCAAUGCCGCGUGAGUGAAGAAGGCCUUCGGGUUGUAAAGCUCUUUUGUCAGGGAAGAAACGGUAGAGGCUAAUAUCCUUUGCUAAUGACGGUACCUGAAGAAUAAGCACCGGCUAACUACGUG